GACGAACGCUGGCGGCGUGCUUAACACAUGCAAGUCGAACGGAAAGACCCUGCUUUUGUGGGGUGCUCGAGUGGCGAACGGGUGAGUAACACGUGAGUAACCUGCCCUUGACUUUGGGAUAACUUCAGGAAACUGGGGCUAAUACCGGAUAGGAGCUCCUGCUGCAUGGUGGGGGUUGGAAAGUUUCGGCGGUUGGGGAUGGACUCGCGGCUUAUCAGCUUGUUGGUGGGGUAGUGGCUUACCAAGGCUUUGACGGGUAGCCGGCCUGAGAGGGUGACCGGCCACAUGGGGACUGAGAUACGGCCCAGACUCCUACGGGAGGCAGCAGUGGGGAAUAUUGCACAAUGGGCGGAAGCCUGAUGCAGCAACGCCGCGUGCGGGAUGACGGCCUUCGGGUUGUAAACCGCUUUCGCCUGUGACGAAGCGUGAGUGACGGUAAUGGGUAAAGAAGCACCGGCUAACUACGU
rnacentral:rRNA from 1 species